ACGGAGAAGGCUAUGUUGGCCGGGCGACGGUUGUCCCGGUUUAAGCGUGUAGGUGUGUGUUCCAGGUAAAUCCGGUUCACUUUAACACUGAGGCGUGACGACGAGGCACUACGGUGCUGAAGCAACAAAUGCCCUGCUUCCAGGAAAAGCCUCUAAGCAUCAGGUAACAUCAAAUCGUACCCCAAACCGACACAGGUGGUCAGGUAGAGAAUACCAAGGCGCUUGAGAGAACUCGGGUGAAGGAACUAGGCAAAAUGGUGCCGUAACUUCGGGAGAAGGCACGCUGACACGUAGGUGAAGUGAUUUACUCAUGGAGCUGAAGUCAGUCGAAGAUACCAGCUGGCUGCAACUGUUUAUUAAAAACACAGCACUGUGCAAACACGAAAGUGGACGUAUACGGUGUGACGCCUGCCCGGUGCCGGAAGGUUAAUUGAUGGGGUCAGCGCAAGCGAAGCUCCUGAUCGAAGCCCCGGUAAACGGCGGCCGUAACUAUAACGGUCCUAAGGUAGCGAAAUUCCUUGUCGGGUAAGUUCCGACCUGCACGAAUGGCGUAAUGAUGGCCAGGCUGUCUCCACCCGAGACUCAGUGAAAUUGAACUCGCUGUGAAGAUGCAGUGUACCCGCGGCAAGACGGAAAGACCCCGUGAACCUUUACUAUAGCUUGACACUGAACAUUGAGCCUUGAUGUGUAGGAUAGGUGGGAGGCUUUGAAGUGUGGACGCCAGUCUGCAUGGAGCCGACCUUGAAAUACCACCCUUUAAUGUUUGAUGUUCUAACGUGGACCCGUUACCCGGGUUGCGGACAGUGUCUGGUGGGUAGUUUGACUGGGGCGGUCUCCUCCUAAAGAGUAACGGAGGAGCACGAAGGUUGGCUAAUCCUGGUCGGACAUCAGGAGGUUAGUGCAAUGGCAUAAGCCAGCUUGACUGCGAGCGUGACGGCGCGAGCAGGUGCGAAAGCAGGUCAUAGUGAUCCGGUGGUUCUGAAUGGAAGGGCCAUCGCUCAACGGAUAAAAGGUACUCCGGGGAUAACAGGCUGAUACCGCCCAAGAGUUCAUAUCGACGGCGGUGUUUGGCACCUCGAUGUCGGCUCAUCACAUCCUGGGGCUGAAGUAGGUCCCAAGGGUAUGGCUGUUCGCCAUUUAAAGUGGUACGCGAGCUGGGUUUAGAACGUCGUGAGACAGUUCGGUCCCUAUCUGCCGUGGGCGCUGGAGAACUGAGGGGGGCUGCUCCUAGUACGAGAGGACCGGAGUGGACGCAUCACUGGUGUUCGGGUUGUCAUGCCAAUGGCACUGCCCGGUAGCUAAAUGCGGAAGAGAUAAGUGCUGAAAGCAUCUAAGCACGAAACUUGCCCCGAGAUGAGUUCUCCCUGAGACUUUAGGUCUCCUGAAGGAACGUUGAAGACGACGACGUUGAUAGGCCGGGUGUGUAAGCGCAGCGAUGCGUUGAGCUAACCGGUACUAAUGAACCGUGAGGCUUAACCUUACAACGCCGAAGAUGUUUUGGCGGAUGAGAGACGAUUUUCAGCACUGAUUCNNNNNNNNNNNNNNNNNNNNGCGGAUGAGAGACGAUUUUCAGCACUGAUUCAGAUUACAUCAGAACGUAAAAACGGUCUGAUAACAGAAUUUGCCUGGCGGCAGUAGCGCGGUGGUCCCACCUGANNNNNNNNNNNNNNNNNNNNUAGCGCGGUGGUCCCACCUGACCCCAUGCCGAACUCAGAAGUGAAACGCCGUAGCGCCGAUGGUAGUGUGGGGUCUCCCCAUGCGAGAGUAGGGAACUGCCAGGCAUCAAAU
rnacentral:rRNA from 1 species